UACCUGGUUGAUCCUGCCAUUAGUCAUAUGCUUGUCUGAAAGCUAAAGCCAUAUAAGAGUAAGUUCAUGCUGUAAACGAAUGGUGAAACCGCGAAUGGCUCAGGAACCGGACCUAAUCCUCGGGACGGUAUUCUUCACCGCGGGGAGUGUAGAUAACUGUGGCAAUUCUAGAGCUAAUACAUGCAACUGAAGUUGCGAUUGCAGGUCGCACCCGGACGUCGGGCCGAAAACCGGCGCUCGCACGGCCGGUCCCGGUCACGACGAUAUAAAUGGUCCCGGCGCAAAUAUUAGACUGAGACCGACGCGUACGUGCCGUCGCAGUGGCACGCCCUAUGAUUUUUGUGACUUUGGAUAACUGUCCAUGCGAUCCGACGGGCUAGUAUCGACUAGCCUUCGCGCGACGGUUCCUUCGCGAGUCCAUGAAGAAGCCGUUUUACUUCAUAGAUUAUCGGGGAUAUUUUCUUUGUAAAAUAUGCAGAAAUAUAUGUUGGGUAUUAUUUAUUAUUUUCUAUAUAUUAUAGAUGUCUGAAUAAAUAAUUAGUUUAUGUAACAUUUUCUAUUUCUACAUUGCUUAUAC
rnacentral:ncRNA from 1 species